rnacentral:tRNA from 1 species
GCUAGGAUACCUGGCUUUCACCCAGGAAGCUCGGGUUCGAUUCCCGGUAUGGGAA